GAUGAAGAACGCAGCGAAAUGCGAUAAGUAAUGUGAAUUGCAGAAUUCAGUGAAUCUUCGAAUCUUUGAACGCACAUUGCGCCCGCCAGUAUUCUGGCGGGCAUGCCUGUUCGAGCGUCAUUUCAACCAUCAAGCCCCCGGGCUUGUGUUGGGGACCUGCGGCUGCCGCAGGCCCUGAAAAGCAGUGGCGGGCUCGCUGUCACACCGAGCGUAGUAGAUUUUAUCUCGCUCUGGGCGUGCUGCGGGUUCCGGCCGUUAAACCACCCUUUUAACCCAAGGUUGACCUCGGAUCAGGUAGGAAGACCCGCUGAACUUAAGCAUAUCAAUAAGCGGAGGA
rnacentral:misc_RNA from 1 species